CGAACGGGUGAGUAACGCGUGAGGAACCUGCCUCAAAGAGGGGGACAACAGUUGGAAACGACUGCUAAUACCGCAUAAGCCCACGGCUCGGCAUCGAGCGGAGGGAAAAGGAGCAAUCCGCUUUGAGAUGGCCUCGCGUCCGAUUAGCUAGUUGGUGAGGUAACGGCCCACCAAGGCGACGAUCGGUAGCCGGACUGAGAGGUUGAACGGCCACAUUGGGACUGAGACACGGCCCAG
rnacentral:rRNA from 1 species